CAGCACCUCAAGUGGUCAGGAUGAUUAUUGGGCCUAGCAUCCGUAGCCGGCGCUGUAAGUUUUCGGUUAAAUCUGUACGCUCAACGUACAGGCUGCCGGGAAUACUGCAGCGCUAGGGAGUGGGAGAGGUAGACGGUACUCGGUAGGAAGGGGUAAAAUCCUUUGAUCUAUUGAUGACCACCUGUGGCGAAGGUGGUCUACCAGAACACGUCCGACGGUGAGGGAUGAAAGCUAGGGGAGCAAACCGGAUUAGAUACCCGAGUAGUCC
rnacentral:rRNA from 1 species